CAGAGCUGCUCCUAAGCCGGCGGGUUCCUCGCUCGUUGCCGGGGCAACGGGUCGGCGACGGAGCGCCGCGAGGGCCAAGCUUUCCGCCGCGCGAUUACUAGCGACUCAGAGAGGGAAAAAAAGGCUGUGUUUUUCUCUGGUGCCCCCGCGUGGUGGGCGGGAGCGCAAUCGCAAACGUCGCUAGUCCUGGAAACGGGCAAGGAAAGAGGAAAAGAAUGCAUUCAUGACACCAAAUUCAGGAUGGUGGCUACCUGUGGGAGGAUGAAGAUUCUGCCGGUAGAGUGCUCCUGACCACAUUUGCUUUGGUGCUGCUGCCUGAUUCAAAUCAAGGAUGGGCUCUAGGCAUGCAGGCUUCAGUAGUUGCAGCACUCGGGCUCAGUGGUUGUGAUGCACGGGCUCCAUGGCAUGUGGGAUCUUCCAGAUCAGGGAUCGAACCCGUGUUUCCUGCAUUGGCAGGCAGAUGCCAAAUCACUGCGCCACCAGGGACGUCCACUCCGCCUUUUUUUAAUUUUCUUCAUUUACAUUUAUUAUAG